rnacentral:rRNA from 1 species
UACAGAGGUCUCAAGCGUUGUUCGGAUUCAUUGGGCGUAAAGGGUGCGUAGGCGGCGCGGUAAGUCGGGUGUGAAAUCUCGGAGCUUAACUCCGAAACUGCAUUCGAUACUGCCGUGCUUGAGGACUGGAGAGGAGACUGGAAUUUACGGUGUAGCGGUGAAAUGCGUAGAUAUCGUAGGGAAGACCAGUGGCGAAGGCGGGUCUCUGGACAGUUCCUGACGCUGAGGCACGAAGGCCAGGGGAGCAAAACGGG